rnacentral:rRNA from 1 species
AUGACAUGCUAUCGGGCUAUGACGUCAGGUUACUGCUUCGUGAAAGAGCAAAAUCCAGUGAUCAUGCGCUACUACGGACGAGGCCUAGUACAGCUGACCUAUUCAUUGUCACAGCGACUUCAACUAUCGACAAGCCGGGGAGGCGUUGGGGCUGGACCUCCUAGACAACCCGGACCUGGUGUCCACGAACCCCGUCGUGGCGUUCAAGACGGCAAUCUGAUGUUGGAUGACGCCUCAGGCGCCCAAACCAUCGUGUCACGCCGUGAUGACCGAUGGCUGGACUCCUUUUGCCCAAGAUGUCGACGCGGGGAUGCUCCCCGGCUACGGCAUGACCACCAACAUCUUCAACGGCUCGGCGGAGUGCGGCAAGGGCUACGCGACCCCGCUGGCCAAGGACCGGGCCCGCUACUACAAGAUGUACCGCGACAUGCUCAAAGUUGA